rnacentral:rRNA from 1 species
AAAUUGAAGAGUUUGAUCAUGGCUCAGAUUGAACGCUGGCGGCAGGCCUAACACAUGCAAGUCGAGCGGUAGCACAGAAGAGCUUGCUCUUUGGGUGACGAGCGGCGGACGGGUGAGUAAUGUCUGGGAAACUGCCUGAUGGAGGGGGAUAACUACUGGAAACGGUAGCUAAUACCGCAUAACCUCGCAAGAGCAAAGAGGGGGACCUUCGGGCCUCUCGCCAUCAGAUGUGCCCAGAUGGGAUUAGCUAGUAGGUGAGGUAAUGGCUCACCUAGGCGACGAUCCCUAGCUGGUCUGAGAGGAUGACCAGCCACACUGGAACUGAGACACGGUCCAGACUCCUACGGGAGGCAGCAGUGGGGAAUAUUGCACAAUGGGCGCAAGCCUGAUGCAGCCAUGCCGCGUGUGUGAAGAAGGCCUUCGGGUUGUAAAGCACUUUCAGCGGGGAGGAAGGCGGUGAGGUUAAUAACCUCAUCGAUUGACGUUACCCGCAGAAGAAGCACCGGCUAACUCCGUGCCAGCAGCCGCGGUAAUACGGAGGGUGCAAGCGUUAAUCGGAAUGACUGGGCGUAAAGCGCACGCAGGCGGUCUGUUAAGUUGGAUGUGAAAUCCCCGGGCUUAACCUGGGAACUGCAUUCAAAACUGACAGGCUAGAGUCUUGUAGAGGGGGGUAGAAUUCCAGGUGUAGCGGUGAAAUGCGUAGAGAUCUGGAGGAAUACCGGUGGCGAAGGCGGCCCCCUGGACAAAGACUGACGCUCAGGUGCGAAAGCGUGGGGAGCAAACAGGAUUAGAUACCCUGGUAGUCCACGCUGUAAACGAUGUCGAUUUGGAGGUUGUGCCCUUGAGGCGUGGCUUCCGGAGCUAACGCGUUAAAUCGACCGCCUGGGGAGUACGGCCGCAAGGUUAAAACUCAAAUGAAUUGACGGGGGCCCGCACAAGCGGUGGAGCAUGUGGUUUAAUUCGAUGCAACGCGAAGAACCUUACCUACUCUUGACAUCCAGAGAAUUUGCUAGAGAUAGCUUAGUGCCUUCGGGAACUGUGAGACAGGUGCUGCAUGGCUGUCGUCAGCUCGUGUUGUGAAAUGUUGGGUUAAGUCCCGCAACGAGCGCAACCCUUAUCCUUUGUUGCCAGCGAUUCGGUCGGGAACUCAAAGGAGACUGCCGGUGAUAAACCGGAGGAAGGUGGGGAUGACGUCAAGUCAUCAUGGCCCUUACGAGUAGGGCUACACACGUGCUACAAUGGCGUAUACAAAGAGAAGCGACCUCGCGAGAGCAAGCGGACCUCAUAAAGUACGUCGUAGUCCGGAUUGGAGUCUGCAACUCGACUCCAUGAAGUCGGAAUCGCUAGUAAUCGUAGAUCAGAAUGCUACGGUGAAUACGUUCCCGGGCCUUGUACACACCGCCCGUCACACCAUGGGAGUGGGUUGCAAAAGAAGUAGGUAGCUUAACCUUCGGGAGGGCGCUUACCACUUUGUGAUUCAUGACUGGGGUGAAGUCGUAACAAGGUAACCGUAGGGGAACCUGCGGUUGGAUCACCUCCUUACCAAGAAG